GUGCCCUGCGAGAGGUCUUGCCGUAGAAACGCUUCCCUCGCUGCGCUGUAAAAACGUAUUUUCAGCUCCGUCGCCGUUGUGAAAGCAAAUCAGUGCAGUAUGAAGGCUGUAUCACAACUCCAGCUUGGACUUAGUCCUUUUCACUCCAUCUACUGGACUACCAGAUUUACCUGUGCCUAGACAUGUCCCUUCAGGAUAUGUACUGACUGAAGUGAGGAGGAAGCUGAGUCUGCAGGAGUAACUGCUGGUGAGUGGGCACAGGGGUGAUGUGGUCUUGGACUUGAUCUUAGAGGGCUUCUCCAACCUUAAUGAUUUUAUGAUUCUGUGAACUCACUGCCUCUCUCCAAAGAAACAGAGCAAAUCCUUGACAGAACUGCAACAUAAUUUGGAUGUCCAUAUUUCUAAUCGCACUCUUAGCCGCAAGACCAAGCUUAGUCCUCGUUCCCAUACUUGGUGAGAAAAUUUUGUGCACCCAUGGAAUGUCACAGCUAUACCUCUGCUCUCAAGCAGUGGGACUGAGCACACCCUGGAAGCCUGCAACACUUUCCAGCUCAAGUGUAAAUCAGCAUUCAUAAUACAAGAAAUUUUGCUCUAAGGCUGAGCGUAGUGAUUUAGCAAUAAUAGUCUCUAGUUUCUUCAUAACGGAGAAUGGCCACAGGUUUGAGCUCUGUCUGAAGAGCAGACAUUCAACAGGCAAUCUCAAGAACUCCAGUGCUGUGACCAGCAAAUGGGAAAGCAAGGACUCCCAUGAACGCAGCUCAUCCUUCACUUACCUGAAGCAAAACAAACUGCGCUCAAGUUGGAAUGAACAAGCAGUAGUUCUGUACCAGCUACACCUCCUUUGUGCUUUAGAAAGCAUCAGUUAAUUCAGUGCAGAGAUAGACCAACUGCUUUCUUUGACUGUGAAUCUUACAUAGGAUUGUAUUCCCACCUGUCAAAACACCACCAACUUGCUAUGUUGGUGUAAUGCCUAUGCUUUCUGCCAAACAAGGUCUUUCCCUUUUUGUCAAGCAACAGCAGUACGCCUUCAAUAAGCAUAUUGUUUUUCUCCUUUGCAGCGAAGACCCAUGUAGGGCAGCCCAAAAGUCUACACCUAUAACAUGGGAGAAGAGGUCAACUCAACUUGGAUAUCUCGUGUUAAAGGUCUUGUGAUAGAGAAGAUCCUCCCUGUACACAUAACAUGUUUGGAACCCUCACAACAGGCUCCUGGAAGGGUGCCCUGUGCCACCAGUAGCACUAACAAGAUCUUUGUGUUAGCACACACAAGUUACAAUAGUGACAUACUAGAAGUUUCAUUUCCACAGUUGUUUCCUUUGAAAACACAUUCCUCAGUGUCAAACUACCCAAAUGUCUCUGCUUUUCAGUUCAAGGAUAAGUAUAUCCAUUAAAAUGAAGAAAAACACGAAAAUGAGAAAGUCAACAACACAAAAGAGCUAUGGAGACCUGCCACCACCCUGGUAAAUCUGCAAACUUGGAACAUAUUUCAGGAGCUUAAGGACAAGUUUGACCAGAAGCAAUGCACAAAGUUUCAGACUUCCUAAAUUCUCCUUUCCUCCAGCACCUGAACAAUUGCACUGCUGAUGUCAGGGAACAAAAGAUGGUCCCCUAUUUCCCAGCAGAACAAAUUAAUCUUUCCUCCAGCUGAAAAAAAAAAAAAGAAAGAAAAAAAAAAAAGAACUUUUUGGUGACAUAGUUACAUGUAUCCUGUGAGAAACAGCUCCUGAAACAAAUAAAAAGACCCUAUAACUUUGGGAGAAAAGGGCCCAAUGCUGUGUAAAUUCAGAAGUUCACAUCAGAUCAGUUCUUGGGUUAGCAACAUGGCUAAAAUCUUCAGUCUGAGACCACAUAACACUAGGGAGAGGAGUCUCUUUGAGUACUAGAAGGCGAACAUCUCUGCUGAAAUAUUUGCAUUGCAAUCUCUGGGUCUAUGUUGAGACACAGCCUGAAAAUAUUUGCAGCAGAAUAACUGUGGAUUAUCUUGUCCUGUUCCAGAUGAUUUUCACAGAACUCUUUAAUUUUAUAAUGCUUGUGUCUCUGUGGCUCCCCAAGCACGACCUAUGUUGACUUAAUGAUAGAGUUGCACUACACUGAGAUUUCUAACUGCAUGUAACCUCUAUUUGUGGGGACUCUCCUUCCUACAUGCACAUGAAUAAGACAAUGAUGUGGUUCUGUGCUUUGUAUGGUCAUCUCAUAUUGACGACGCUGGUUAAAAGGAAAAUAUUUUCUUGAAUUAUACGUAUUAGACCAGGACUAUUUUGGGGAACACAAUUACUCAGCAGAAGUGCUGGAACUGAACUGUAGUACGUGUAAACCUACAUUUGGAAUUAAACCCAGUGCAUUAAAAUAAUAAACCCCGUGUGUCACAUAUUGAGGCUUAAUAAGCUGCAGCAGACUGGGAACAAUCAUUUCUGUGCGGUCAUAUGAAAUGAUGUGGGAUUUUUCCAAUACCAUGACUUCUAAUGAAGAGUUCUGCUUUGCCAUUAUUCUUACCGCUAUUUGAAGUGGGUCUGCUAUUUCUGCUAGCAUUUGAAAACCUGAAAGCUGACAAAUGAAAGCAACAAAAGACGGUGUUGCACAGUUUAAGCCAACAGAAGUAUAAAGGAGAGACCUGGGUCUUCAGCAGGAGGCUGUGGAAUCUUAACAAAGACCUAAUAAAUAUUAACACUGAACUUGGUACAGACAAUUAUAUGUGAGGAAAUUAUUUUGCAUAUGUUUCUAUGAAUUAUGUAUGAUUCUCUCACCUUUCUGCUUUUCUUAAAAUAGUAUUUCAACAAGAACUGACCAUGCAAGCUGUGGCUUCAAAGCCUUUUGAACUCCAAGCAAAAGCACGGGCAGAUGGAGCAUUCAGUCAGGCUCUUUGCCCAUCCUUCUGCAAAUGGCAGGAACGAUGAAAGCAGCAUAAAUAAUAGAGAGGAGCACAGCACGGAAAAAUAAAUGGCUAAAGAACUCAGAAGCAAUACUUCUGGAAUUUCUCUCCUCAUCAUUUUCUAAGUCCUAGAACCUUCUACUUCCCCUGCUAGCUAAAGAAAAGAGAUCAGUUUAACUCAGGCAUGUAAGGACAGUUCUUUCUUCGAACUUAAUUGCAAGAAAAGCCUGUGGAAGGUAAUGCAGAUGUAAGGGAUGUGACUGCGCACGCCAGACAGACACUGCCAGCAUCAGUUCUUCCUACUUUCCCCAGCCGUUAAUUACUCACUGGAGAUUAUGCCCCCAGUGCAAUUUCUUUGUUCUCCAGCUUUAUUACAACACAGUGAACUCUUCAGGAGUGUAAGUUUUUGCCAACAAGAAGCAAAUUAAUGACACAUUACCGUGUGUUUCCGCUGUCAUCACAAGUGAACACAGUACUUGUAAGAGAUGCUAUUUGCAGACCUCUUAAAGCAAAGACCUUGGAUCUAGCCCCAGCUAUGGCACAGUGAGCCAACCACAGCUCUACAAGAUACAAGAUACAAGGCUGCAGUGAUCUAAGUGGUGCCUCAACCAAACCUUUAACUCCAUCCAAAUAGAAACACAGCACAGCAACACAACCUCCCUCUGCACUGCCCUGUUAACUCAUCAUCAGUGCAGCUUCUCAGGCUAUUCCACCACCUGGUGGAACCCAAGAACGUACUCCAUUAAAUGUCAGCAAACUAAUUGCUAGCCUGUCAAAAUACAGCAUAUAUGACCGCUGACAGCUCUCGCUGGCUGUGUAUGAUUUAGAUAGUCUUUGUUAUCAUUAUCCCAUGCAAUACAUUGUAUAAUCAACAAAUAUACAGAGUGGUGUGUUUAGGCUGGUAUCUGCAGAUCGUACAGCUAGAAAGAUUGUCAUGUUGGAAAGGGAUAAUUGAAAAUAAAUGAAAAUGCUCACCGAUGUCCUAGGCUCACAGAAAAAACUCCAAGAGGAGCAAUCUCCAACCAGAGAUCCUUCUCCAGUGACAGUUAGCCCUUGAACGGGGUCGAGGAGAGGUGCAUCCAGGCUCCACCCCUUCCGAUCACACAGCUGGAUUGCCUUCACCUGUGCUCCCAGGGCUGACUCAGCCCUUGCCUCAGGUGAUCAAUCAGAGGUUCAGGCCGUGACUCAACAGUUCCCAUACAUACAUAGAUUGUCAUUUUUAAACAGACAAAAUGUACAUAUUAUAAUAAAUUCUUCAUAUGUAUGGUACAGAGUGCCAUGUAUAGGUGGUGCUACGCCACACAUUAUCCAGUAAUAGGUAUUACCAAAUCAUUUGCUUUCAUCGUUCUCACCAGUAGAUGAUCACGGUUUGUUUUCUUCCAAACACCCACUUUGUUAUUUCAUAUCCACUUAUUAAGGAAUAUCCUUAUAUUGUGAGUGGCAAGAAAUGUGGAGAGAGGCCAUAUACCAAAGUGCUGUGUCAACCUGCAAGGACCUGCAGAGGGCAGGACCAUGAGGUUCACUGGUUUGGGGGUAUUACCCAGCACUCCAGAGCUGUUCUAAAGGUCACGCAUUCUGUGCAUAAAUAGAAGUGUUGCUAACUGAUCUUUGCUAAACUGACUGGCUACUUGCUUAGACAGCCCUGAACAAAUAUUAAUUGAAACAAUCCAGAGGGCACAUUAUCUCUGAAGAAACCAAAGAUGUUCCGUUGACUUUGGUCUCAAUUACUCAACAGCUUCCACACAGAAAAAGCACACUCGUGAAAGAAGUCAAUCUACUGCUUUAAUACAAAACAUAACUAGAAAGGGUUCAUGCAGAAUCCUACUGUUUCUGUGAUGACCCCCUUUAGGAAAGCACAACUCGGAGAGGGAAAAUUGCUAGAAAGCUGCUGUUUCAUGUGCAUCAUUUGUCUGUGAGAUCUGAAUCAUCAGCUUAACUGCUGAAUUACUCUUUCUGCCUUAAGAUAUGAGAGAGGGAUUCUGAGGGAAACAGAUCAAAAGGCAGCCUUUCCUCCAGCAUAGCACUGAGUGCAGGAGCCAGUUAAAAGUCAUUGCCUUUGUUCUUUGUAGAGUACAAGAACCAGUCUUCCCAUACAUCUUAGCAAUACUGAGAAGCAGAUGAAGCAGAUGAGGAAAAAGAGUGCCUACCUCUCCUAACUAUUUCGCUUCUGCAAAAUAAAGAGUCCAGAUUAGUCAGAGUUACUUGUUGUUAAAUCUAGCAGCCACUUCAGCAAGAACAAUGACAGAAAACCUUGCAGUAACAGGAUUCACUGUGAGGGUGUGAGGGUUGCUGUGCCAUACUUUACAGGGAACCAUUCUGCUUAAUGGUUUAGCAUCUGCUAAGCGUCAGAGUCGGUGAUGUGUUGGUGACAGCGCAGAACUGCUGAAACACAGGACAACAAGCAACAUGAAAAAGCAGAUGCUGAGGCUGUUCAGGCCCUUGAAAAGGGCACUCAUGACAAGAAAGCUCCUGUGAUUCAAUUCAAGGGCUUCACAUCUGGAACAAAACACUUUUUGCAGGGUGCAUGAAGAGGAGCUGGUAACUUUAUAAAGAUAGCACACUCCAGAAGGCUUGGUUCUUUACUGCAAACAAAGCUGGUAGACUUCAAGCAAAACUACGUAGGCUAUAAUGAAUAUUUUUGACUGUAGGGAGAAAAAUGAAUGGCUUGAGUCCAGAAACUCUCUGCCUACAUACAGAACUAGGUCUGUAGGAGAUCCUUAUUCAGCAAGUUUCCUACAAAAGACAUUAAUUUACAUUUUCUUGUUUAAACAACUUUCUCCAUGUGAGAAAUUCCAGCAGACACAGGCUUGGAGGAAUGAAUGAGUGCUGCAAAGAAUUCUGUACAUCACAUAUGGACACUUGUGACUGCUACCAUUCUGGGGUCCCAAAGAUGAUGCAGACACCAGGACAUCAGUCCCUGUUAAUCUGCAGCUGCUCUCCUCCUGGCAGUGCAGUUUGAGAUACAUGAGGUCCUAAAAGGGCUCAGAUGAAAGGAAAGGUUUCUUUUAAUUGUCAUCACUGUUAAUGAACAACUUAGUCCUGUUCAAACAUUCAGACUGUGAUAUGGGUAAGUGUCUCAGUUUAUCAUGCCCUCAAUCUUUUGAACAGCUAGGUUUUAUUUGCUAAGCUCUGGCUGGUCCAAAAGGAACAAGCUUACCCUGAGAGAGAUUGGCUGAACUUGCGGCCUGGACUUUAGAUAAAAAAAUGUUCAGGAUUUGAUGCAAUUUUGCCUCAGCUACUUUUGCCAAGCUUUGAGCUGUCCUUGCAAACCCAGCAACUAAAGCAAACUUCCCUGGAACCCUCCUGCAAAAUAGAAAGGCAUAGUCUCAUUUCAAAAGGCUUUUACUAGGAGGUUCCAUGUCUACAAGUUAAAGAGAAAUGAUGAGUCUUUGUGCCAAAACGAAAAAUACAAACACAAAUGAAUGUGCUAGUGUUAGCUAUGGUUUUCUAUUUUCUAUGCAAUUAGAAUAGCCAUGUGAAAUAAUUAAACAGUGACAACAUGUACUCCUCGUACUGUUGCAUAAUAGCUUCCCAUGAAUUUAUUAAUCAAUGUAUAGCUGUUGAAAUAUUCAAUAUGUUGUGCUGGGGCAUUCCACUCUUGUCCCCAGGGUGAACUCCUUUCCUAUUGCUCUGGCUCACUCAGCAUCAGUACUGUUGACAUUUUCAAUGAUACUACAGUUUUAUCUUUGAGAUUUUUUGAAGAAAAAAUGUUGCAACAAAGACAAAAUACAUCAAACGAGAUGUCCAGCUGUCCACAGAAACAAAGGCCUAUCUUCUGUAAGUGACAUUCAACUAAUUCAAGGGUAAGUGCUCUCUUACUUGACGGUGGUAUUCAUUUAGCCCCCGACAUCCUUUCCAACUGGAGUGGAAGGGUUGCAGCUGCUUCUGCAGCAUCAUCAAUUUCAGCCCCCGCUGCAAUGAAACCCUUAGGAAAUUUAGUGGGGCAUCAACCUCAUCUCUGAGCAACCUGAGCCUCACCACCCCCACUAUCAAAGACUUUUUCCUUAUAUCUAACCUAAAUCUACCCUCACUGAGCUUUAAGGCAUUUCCCCUUUUUCUAUCACCACAGACCCUGCACUAAAGAGUCUGUCCCUUUCUUUUCCCCUUUAAUUUGUACUCAGCAAAUAAUUUCUUUUCUGGAAGGCAUGCCAUAAGACUGGAACUUUGCUGGUGUUGGGUGGAGAGGCCUUCAUCUUUGAGCCUGAUCAUGCAGCUCAAUUACUGCAUCCUCUGGGAAGUCUGGUAUAGUCUUGUCUUGCCAAUAAAUUAAAAAAUAAAUAACUAAUGCUAAACAUUGA